GCCACGUGAAGCUGGAGGCACCAGAAGCUGGGAGAGGCAAGGAAGGACUCACCCUCGAGCCCUUGUAGGAAUCACGGCCUUGCCAACACUUUGAGUUCAGAAUUUGGACCUCCAGAAAUGGGAGAGGAUAUCACUAUGGCUUUCUGAACAUUCUCUCUGUAUGAUUCAUUGUCACCAAAAAGCCUUGUUUGCAUGGAGUAAUGUAUCUACGCCCUCAAAGCCACAUAUGUUCCCAGCUCUGAAGGUGACCAGUCAGCAAAAUGCCCACAGAGCACCUCUCUGAAGAUGAUGAAACUGAGACCCAAAUAGAAGAAAUGGCUGAUGCAGAACCAGAACUAUGGUGUCCACAACUCCCUCCAUGGAUGCCACCUGCCUCGGAAUGCUUCCCAGGGCCACUUCUCCAUGAGUUCCACACUGGAGGCUGGUGCCUGCUCAGCAUCCCUGGUCCCUAAUUGGCAGAGCUCUUCCAGGAGAGCUGAGCCACUGUUCCCUCCUCCCCGCAAAGGGCAGGCACUCCUAGUCCUCAUUCCUCCAGCUCCACAUCUACCAUCCUGUGGAGUAGGUGUUUUUUUUUUUUUUUUUCCUUUUGUGGAUCUGACACAGGAAGGUAGUUUCCUUGGAACCUUGGGACCCUCAGUGUUGCCUGGACAUUUGGGAAAAAACAAAGCAAAUUAAUUCUGCCUGCUCACUUAAUGAAGAGCAGUAUGUGGAGGUAGAACUAACUCACAGGUUGUUUUAAGAGUAAAUCUCCAGCUUCAGCAGGGCUUGGGGGCAGGCCCUUUGUUUCCUGAGACCCUCUGCCUUAAUCCUGAUCACCAGGAAUUAAAGCCUGGGUGACAAUCUCUAAAGCAUCUGCUGGAGGAAGGCACUUGAUCAGUCACACAGUGGUUUACAUUGUUCCCCUGGGGCUUAGACCUUUCUUUCUGUUCUGAGGAACAGCAUCCCCACCUACAUGAAGCUAUAAAUAUCAGGAAGCAGAAGAACUGUAUGCACCCCAGCUUUAGAACCAGGCCACUAGGCACUGGCGGCACUUGUACUCCCUAG